UCGUAGCAGUCCAAGGGGUUGGUUGGAAUUAAAGUUAUUUCGAAUUAAAGAAUUCAGAAUGAAAGGGUUCGUUGACCGUUAAGAGUAGGGAACCCGUUCCUGGAGAAGAAGCAAUGACGGUAUCUGGGGAAUAAGCAUCGGCUAACUCUGUGCCAGCAGCCGCGGUAAUACAGAGAAUGCAAGCGUUAUCCGGAAUGAUUGGGCGUAAAGCGUCUCGCUAUUUAGUCCGAAUCGGUGAAAUGAGGGAAUCUAUAAAAAUUAUUCAACAAGAAGGCCUCCUUC
rfam:Eucalyptus grandis cultivar BRASTZ1 unplaced genomic scaffold scaffold_1, whole genome shotgun sequence.